rnacentral:misc_RNA from 1 species
UUACUGUGCGGAACAAAAUCUAUCCAAAGCUUUUACAUUUAUUUUAAAGAUACUAUAUAUUCUUAGUCAUUACAAAGGUUUAAUUUAUUCACUUUCAGCAAACUCCAAUGACCAAUUCUCCUUGGAGACUUUACAAGUGGUUAGCCAAGUCUACAACUGUUUGAGAAGACCAAGUUAAGCAAUAUGGCGGAAGCUUGAAUCGUGAUUGCUUGGCAGUUUAAAGGACAAUUUGAUUAUCAACUAAAGUUCACGAGAAUCUAAAUGUAAGCGGUGGUGUUUAAAAUGCACACCACAAGUGGAUCUUCAACUUCUGAUAUAUUGUCAUUUAUUGCUGACAUUAACAAUAUUCAUCGAAUGAGGAACUACGAUACAAAUUCGUCUGCUUCUCAGCCUAACGAAGAGUCAAAAGAAAACUGUUCGACCGGCGAUCUUUUGGGGCCUUUCGGCUUACUGGUGCAAGGACUGCUGGCAUUUCUUGCUUUUACAUGUCUUAUAGUGAAAAGAUAUUGUGAGCCAAAGCAUUCACGAAGACCAUGGAAAAUUUGGUUUUAUGACACUUCAAAACAAGCAUUGGGUGCAGCAGUUAUUCACUUUGCCAAUGUGUUCUUGGCAGACCAAUUCCAAGGCGAUCCAUGUACUUGGUAUAUUAUUAGCUUCUUGCUGGACUCAACAGCAGGUCUUUUAGUUAUCUACAUCGGCUUAAAGACCACACAAAUACUGGCACAUCGUUAUUCUUGGAAAUCCCUCUAUUUUGGGGAAUAUGGAGAGCCUCCAAAAUGCAAUGCCUGGUUGGGGCAAACUGUCUUAUAUAUUGUUGUCAUGAUUGUGGAGAAACUUCUUAUGACCCUGCUUGUGCUUUUUGACUUCUGGAAAAAAGUGCGACACAUUAUCAUGUCACCUAUUACCAAUCCUCUUCUAGAGCUGGUGAUAGUUAUGUUUUUGGUUCCACUUGUUGUCAAUGCAAUACUGUUUUGGGUUGUGGACAAUUUUCUGAAGAGGAGUAUACGACAAUCUAAGACCAUUUAUGUCACAUCAGAAGAGUCACGUGUCAAGUACUUUCGUUCCUCAGACAAUGUCAAGUGCUAUAACCGUAUUGAAAAGGGAGAGGAGUCAGACAUUCUUUCUGCUGAAGAAGAUUUUGAAGUGCGUCAGCGGAACAACGAUCCAUCUGAAAGGUUGAUAUCACGAAGAUGAUUAACUUAAAUCCAGGCAGUUAACUUGCUCACCAACCCUUCUUGUUGUUGCACUCCACAAGCAAAGCCCAUUGCAGCUUUUUAUGGGAAAUUAAUGUUUAUUAUGCAUAUAAAAUUCGUUUGAAGCUUGAUCUUGUAUAUAAAGAAUGCUGGCCUUCAGAAAAUCGAGAGGUAAUGGAAUAUUGGAAUACAAAAAGGUACUUGAAUGUAUGUGCUGCAUGGGAAAACAUGUUUGUGUGAUUUUGCAAAAAAGAGAUUUUACUUUUGUUUUAAUAUCUCAUUAGGUAUCUUUAUCCAUUUUAGUUUGUUCUUAAUUAAAAUGGGAAAUCUCCUGGUAGGAAAAGAUAAGUAAUGUCCAAAGCUUCUUGUGUUCAAAGGAGUGUAUUAUUGUAGCAGUAUUAAACCUUAAAAUCAAAAUUUAAAUGUUGUUUUAAGUUUCUAAUUUCUAUAACUGGUGGUCUCAAUUAAAUAAUAUAUAGUAUGUGCAGUUCUUAAGGGCAGUGUUGUUUUCAAGACUUUCAGGUGAGUUAACCAUAUGUAGAGCUGACUUUGUUUCUGAAAUCUGAAUGACAAAUGAAGUUGGGAAAUGGGGGAAUACCAUCAAAAAAGAAACAGCUUAGAAAAUGAUAUUUAUAAUUGUGAUCACUUUAUUGUUAGAAUAUAACCAUUUGUUAACUUUUUGAUUAAGGGUGAGAAGGAUUAGAUUAAAAUGAUUCUUAGCAAAAGCUGAAAAUGUGUCGUACUUUGUUUAGAUAGACUGCACUGCUAAAACUUAAAAUAAUGGGCCUGCUCAGCAGAACAAAAAAUCUAGAUAGUCAAAUUAUCAAAUACAUCAGUUACUAAAUAAGAAACUAUAAAAUCUUGCUAGAUCCUCCAGAUAAGUACUAAAAUAAUUUCACAAAAAGGACAAGUUGUUGCCUAUUGGAGACGCUUUGCAAUUUUAGUAAGUUGUGCUGAACUGGUGUAAAGUUGGUAGCGAUUAAGUCAGAAAGAGGAGGGUGGGGGGGGAGUUACCCCUUGCAGGCAAGCUAGCAUGCUGCAGGAAGAGAGAUGACACCAUUAUCAUUAUAGGAAUAAAGUAUACUUUAUAAUGAAUAAGCUUACAAAAGAGAAACAAAAAUGUGAUGAAAGUGCAGGAUCACAAAGAGAGAGAGAAUUUUAUGUAUGAAGGCUUGGAAGCAUGGUUCUGUUUGUAUAUGCAUGCGAGUAAUCACAGGAGCAAGACACCAUGCUUAUGUGCAUGACUGCACAAGCAUUUGAGUCUUGUGCAUGUGUUUAUGCAUGUCUGCUUGCAUGUAUACCUGGCUAAUUCAAAAAUUUUUAAAGGUGUGAUUGAUUGGGAAAUCUGUGGGUGCAUAUACUCAACUGAUGUUUUGUAAACGCAUCAGCCUCAGCACUUUUGUCAAAAUAGAAGUUAUUUAUUGCUUGAAUCACUGAAUAAAAAAAAAUAAAUUGCAGACAUAAACUGAUCAAAAGCAUCUGUGAGUUCAGCAAGCAUACUGAAAAUAUUUUUUUUAAAUGUUUACCAGCAUAGUUAUUAAGUGUUGAGGCAUGUCUACACUGCUGUUUAUAACACUAUGCUUGACACCCAUACCUUGUAUCUGUAUUGUGCUUGAUGUUAACUAUCAAUCACCAGUCAGCCUUCUUGUGAGAUCCAAUGGCAAGGAAGAUCUAGAACUUGAUAGUGAAACUAAAAGCCAUACUCACAGUUUUCCACACUGACUUUAAGCAAGUACUAAGAAGAAAUUUUUUGUUUAAAUCUUAAUUUGUAGAGGAUUGCCUAUGCAUUGAGCUAAAAUUUUGAUAAACCAUGAAAAGCAAGCAGCAUGUAAGUCUUGUUCUUGUGAUUCUUUAGGACAGAUAACUAAAGUAUGCCAUUAUCUGGGCCUUUAUCCAGACGUAGUAAAAUUUUUCAUUUCUAAUCGCUUUUUCAGAUUAUGUUUCUGAUACUAUCAUCCUUAGAGAAUACAACUUUUGCUGAGCCUUGUACAUUCCUAACAUGAAUCUGAAGAUUUUUGUGUAUGUUGUAAAGAGUUGAAUCCCAUAAGACUGCUGCAUGCAAAAAUCUCAAAUAUUUUCAUACUUGUAUUUGUCCAGUGGAUUGUUUUUUGUUUGCAGGUGAUUUUGUGUGUCACACAUAUUGUGCGAAUGCUAUUGUGUAUUUUAUGAUUUGUCAGUAUGUGGUCUUUUCUUUGCAUGUUAUGAUACUGUUGUUAUUGACUGUUUGGCUUGUUAUACUGUCCUUUUUUGCAAUCUGGGAUCUUAUAUUGUAAAGCCUGCUUAGCUCUCUUGUGAUUCUGUUGAUAUUUACUGGCUUUGAUGUGAACAUUUCUUAACUCACUGCUUCUAUAAGGAAUGUAAAUUAAUGAUAAAUUAUUGCUUUUGUUGCAUAAUUGUUCAUCUUGUUUUGACUAGUAAAAUGUUCCAUUCAUGUUAACAGCAAAAUAAGUGUGUAUAUGUAUAUUGAUAAAACUUGGGUGGGGGGGGGAGUAUUAAGGAUUUUUUUUUUCUUUUUAGAAAAAGAAUACUGUAAAUUUUGGACUUUAUUUUCCAACUUAAAACCAUAUGGCUUAAACAGCAAAAGCUGCUUGUUUGCGGACUUUUCAGAUUUUGAUUAAUAUUUUUUAUAUGAGCUCCAUGUUAAAGUGUUAACUGUUCACAUUUUAAAAUCAAAAUCACAUACAAUUAAAUGAUUCAGAUAAGUUGCUAAAGCACACACUCUCAUAGUGCCAAAAAUUUUAAUGCCUACAAUGCAGCUUAUAAACCAAAGCAGCUUAUUUGUGAAAAAAAAGUGAUUUUUUUAAUUUUUAAAUUUAGUGGUUGCAGCUUAUGUUCAUACAGGUGGGCUCAAUAGAUCGAUUUACAGUACAUGUGCUUCAUUCUUCGUGCAUUUUGUCAUUAUUCACAAGUGACAAAAGAGAUGUUUAUGCUGCUAUAAGAAGUAGGUCUUUGGCUUAGCCAACUUCUUGAGGCAUCAUGCUGAUCUUGGAUAGGAUAUCUACAGUUGGACAGUGCAAACAUGAACUCCUCAACUGCUGUAAAUAAACAGCGGGAGGCAAGAGCCAAAGUCAUGAUGGUCACGUCAUUAAAAAAUGUGUUUAUCAUAAUAAUGGUUUGCCCUUAAAGUGUUAAACUUUGUGUACACCUGUAAAAUAUAUGUAAAAAUUAUUUGAGAGAGUGGGAACUGAAAUGUGGUCUUUAAUUUUUUUUUAUAUAUUACAUAUUGGAAUUUAUUUUCGGUUAUGUUGGCAUGUCAUAAAUGCUAGUGGAGUCUUUGUGGGCAUUGUUGUCAUUCUGGAGUUGAGACUCUGAUGUAUUGGAAUGCUGUAUUUUCAUCAUUAAUUCUUUAGCAUAUGAUUUAAAUGUCAGUAUCAAAUGUUAUUUGGGCUCUUUGUGCCAUUCUGAGGCACUGAUGUUUUGAUAUUUCAUCAUCCUUUUUGCUGGAAUUUAGACACUGACACAACACUCUGCUUACUUUUUCAUACAUCUGCUUAAACGAUCUGCCAUGCACAUUUUUUUUUCUUAUAUGAGAUUAGUUUAAAAUCUUUUUUCGCUGUGAGCAUUGAGACAGCUGAAAACAUUUGAGUGCUGGGACUGAAGCAGUGAUAUUCAAUCAUUUUUUUUACUUGGGAUUGGAGAAAAGGUGAGUAAAGCAUGGUAUUUAGGGCUGUUUACCUUUUUUUCUCUUAAGAUAUUACAAUGCUUACAUUUGAGACUGUGAUUGUUUUUCUUUCUUUUUCUUUUUGAAGUUGCAUGACUUUUGAACCUUAUAUUAUUCGUUUAUGAAAUUAAUACUGUACUUCUGUCUGAUUCGGUUUUUAAGUGUGUUUCUUCACUAACAAUUAUGUUUAUGAUGUCUUUUUAAGAUUGACUUUAAAAGGAUCAAUAGUUGUAAAAAAAUUGUGAAUUAUAUAUGUUUUAAUGAUUUCUUUGUUUUAUUGUUGCAUUCUUUUUUAUCUAUAACAUUUACUGUCAUACUUCUAGUCAUACCAUAUUAGUAAUUCUUUUAUGUAGUGAAAUUUUUCUAAACGACUCAGUGCAUAUCUGUAAAAUACUUCAACUUCUUUGAAUUGAACUCUUAUAAACCCCAUUAUUUUUGUUGAUCUCAAAUCCAUGAGGCUGCAGCAACGAUAAUGCACUUGUUCAGUGAGCUCUGACACAUUUCCCUGUGAGUUCACAGUAUUUAACAAAAGGAGCAGCACAACGCAUACAGUAAUGCAGUUUGCAGACACUGUAUGCAGUUUGCAGACAAUGGAAACAAAGCAAAGGGGGGUGGGGGUGGAGAUGAUGAAAAAAAAGCCCAACUACCAAAGAGAGGGGGCCUUAAAGCCAACCUUGAAAUAGUUAUGGCUUGAUGUGGAUCUCAUUGCUGUCAUGAGAAUUUAAUGUAAGAAGUUAUUUCGUCAAUCGUCGAAUGAUAAGUGCAGAUAGAUGAAAAGAUCUGGAACAUGUGCAAUUAAAGGUAUGCACAUGUUUGUUCAUGUAUGGGCAUGCAGGCACAUGUAUGUUAUGCCUAUUUUGCAAGUUUCACUCAAGUUGAUUUUCCAUUUGUUAUUCUUAGCAAGACUGUUUAUGAUGAAAAACCCACUACAUCUACUCAAUUUUUACUUGCUAUGCGUAUGCUUUUAUAUAUCACAACAAAGUGUCAAGCAUCUUGUUGUUGCAUGCAAAUGUUGAAACAUUGUGCAUCUGUAAAGCUGUUGAAAGUAAGACUGCAUAUUCAAAUAAUUAGUGGCUGUGGGUUCACAGCUUGCUCAAGUCUCCAGUUGAAGAAUUCAUUCUGUCCAGAUGUGUACCUGAUUUCUCAGGGAAAGUAACAGCAGUAGAAGAAGAAUGUUAGAUUUACACCUGUUACAUGUGGGAGCCAAAACAUGGAACUAUUCUCUUCUGCCUCUAGUCCAUUAGACUUUUGCUGGAUUUUCAUUUAAAUACAGAAAAUUCUUUAGUUAUUUUUAUUUAAAGUGUUUUGUUUAUGCUUCAUAUAAUGCUUUGCAGCUUUAUCUAGCACUAAUUCUGUUUGGCUCUUUUUCUCAUUAUAUGUGCAUAGAUUCUUUUCCCUUCAUCCUUGAGGAGAGUUAAUUGUAAAGCCGUCCAUACUGCAUAAAAGGUCAUAUUUAUGUAAAAUAUGCACCACCUAAAGUAAGAUUCGAAGUAAACUAAACCAGAAGAAGCAACUCUUGUAUAUCUCAACAAUUUCUUUCCUCAUUUCACUUUAUGCUUAGUCCUUUAGUAUUAUUUAGCACCAGUAUUCAUCAUAGGGUCUUUUAACUCUUUUGUUUUAUAAGAAAACGCUUUCUUAAAAUAGCAGAAAGUACUUGUAUUUUAUUCCCUUAUUGUAAAUGUGAUGUAUAUAUUGUAAUGCUGAUUAUAUAAAAAAAAAAUUGUCACAGAGCCUGUAGUCUAUACAGCCUGCAGGAAAUAAUCAUAAACAUCAUAAACAGUCUUUCUGUCUUUGGCUUAUGUAUUGUCAGUAGAGACAGUCUGGUGGUAGAUUUAUCCAGACUUGGUGGACAGAUGUUUGUUCAGGAGGGUCAACAUCUAAUGAUAGCUUUUGCUACUCUGAUGGCUUGUAUGAUUGCUCUGACUUAAGCACAUAUGAAGCACACACUUGGCACAUGACUGUGGGUUAAAAAAAAAAUACAGAAAACUUAUCUUUGUGGAGAGGCUUAUAAUAGAUUAUUACAGCCACAAAGGUCUUUUUUAACUAAGCAAAUGUUGCCCAGUGUUUGACCUGUGUGUGACUGUCCCAGGAAGGCAUUUUUUUUAGGAGUAACAUUUAAGACAUUGGAACUUGGGUCAACUUGUUGAGCUAUGUCCAGACUUGUUAGGCACUUUUAGUGGGCACUGAAAAUCAUUAGAGGUAUUUAAUUAUUCAUUUUUUCUUUCCAAAAAAAGACAUUCUCAAAUGUCACCAGAAGUUUUUACUUCUUCCAAGUUGUUCUGCUAGUGAUGUACAAUUUGGAUAGCUGUAUUUGUGGCUAUUGGUGAUCAUCCAUGUUGUACAUAAGUAUUGUUGUUUGUACUCAUAUUUGUGUUCAUAUUUUGUUGGGCAUUCAAACAUAAUUGGCUUACAGAAGCACUUAAGUAACCCCAGUUGCUGACACAAGCAACACUGAACUGAAAAAAAUAAAUUUCAAUUAUUUUUCAAUACAUACCUGGAUUGGUGCAAAGUAGGUUCUCACCUACCUUCUUUUAUCACUGGUACACUUGUGCCUGAUCAUCAUUCUCAUCAUCAUCAUCAUCAUCAUCAACACAGCUCUAGGUCUGUUCACUUAUUAGUCUUUAAGAUCUCAGUUUUUUUUUAUUUUAUUUCUUUAAAUCUUAAAAAGUGUAUUAAAAUCUGUAAAACGUUCUGUCACAUUUUUUUGCGAUUGCAUUGCCUCGCAAUCUAUGAAAUUACUCAUAACAGUCUGCUGGAAUUAUUCUUAUUAAGAAGAAGCAUUUACACCUUAGAGCAUUCUGCACUUUGGGUAGGUAAAAUGCAUUUGUGUUGUGCCUCCAUGAAUUGUCUGUUUCUGUGGUUGGAAAGUGAUCUGCUUGUGAAUGUGUGUUUUGUAGAGAUAUUUAGUAUUUAUCUUAUAAAUAUUCUGAACCAUGUAUACAAAUUUAUCUCUUUGCCUUGAGGACUGGUUCUACCAUUUAAAGCUUUUUUUUUUUUAAAUUCUAACCAUCACAGCCCUAUGCUCCUCGAGCAGUAACAAGGAAUAAAAAAACAUGUGUUGUGUGUACCUUUUUUUUAAAAAUCAAGUUUGUGUUUGUGUUACUUUUUGGAUUGUAUUUUUUGAAGAAUUCAUUAUGCUUUCAACUUGAGGUUGUGUGGAAAAAUACGCCUUCAGUAAAAGUCCUUGUCUUUUUUGCUGUGUUAAUUAAACAACGUAGACUGCUGCUUGUUUCAUCCCUUCUAAGUUGAGUAUGCUAUUUUGCUCAUAGUGCAUAAUAAUUUGGUUUGUUUUGGGGAAGUGAAAUAGAGAAAAUACAUUUUAGUAUUCACCAACAUCAUUUCAGCAUGCCUUAAUCAUGGGAAAAGGCUGUGUGAAUCAUCACCAUAGAUAGUUUUCAGGAGAUACACAGUUACCUUGAUGGUGUGGGAUUUAGUGAAGUUUUCUUAAUAAGGUUUUUUAUGUUUAUCCUUUACCUUCACUUUCUAGUUAACCCUUAUGUUUUUAAAAAAAUGUUCUUACACUUUUUUCUGAGACUGGGUGCAGUGGGUGACCAAUGAUUGCAUUUUCAUUUAGAAAGAGAUUUGAUGCUGCUGUUAUAAACUGAAAGAGUUUUUAUGUUUAUGUAUACUCUGUAGCAUUUAAGUGAAAUCUGUAUAGGGUUUUAUGCAUAUAAUGGAUGUAUCGAACUGAAACACUUUUGCUCCUGCCCCUUGCCAGAUGGGCAUCUUUUUGGUUUUUGUAAGCUUGAAAUUCCAUAAAGGACUCCUACAUAAGAUCAGAGAGCUUGUGCCAUUGCAGGCAACUGUGAGAUCUCGGGGGUUGGUGGGAGACGAGCAGAUCUGGAGAUUAACUUUAUCAGAGGUCUUUUUCAUGACUUCAGAAACACUAACUUUUUACCAUGACUUAGAUAUUUUGUUUAUGCUUUAUUUAUUGUGCAAAAAUCAGACUGGUUCUAGGACUGCUUAUUUUGGUGAUGAAAGACAUACACAAUGGCUAUAUCACUAAUCUUUAUGGUGGCUUCUCACCAAGACACUGAGGAUUGUAGACUAAGGAUUCGAAUCUGGCACACAUUAACUCUCUCUGAAUUUAAAACCUGUUUACAGGACUUUGCUAGUGCGCCAUGAUAUAUCCUCAGUUGCUGACUCAAGGUAAAUCAACAACAACCAAUCUCUUCCCAGGAGAUGAAUUAAGAUGUGUAUACCUCAGGUGUCAUGGAAUCAUGUUGCUUCAAUGCAGACAAUAAAACUAACAACAUAAUAUCUCCGCUUAGUUUUAUGUUUUGCCUAUUUUUUUCUUUCAUAUGUCAUGUUUUUAAUGUAAGGGAUGUGUUCUUUCUUGCUUGUAACAUUAGACUAAUGCUAAAGAUUUGCUAUAAAAGGGUAUUGGUCAUUAAAAAAUUUAUGUAAAUACUGGAUGCCAAUACAACAUUUUAAGCACCAAAGAAUGAGGGAAUGAGAAAUUACAGGUACAUAACUUUGUACACCCCAUAAAAUUCUGAGGUGAUGAUAACUUUGUACAGCCCCAUGAAUGUUCUGAGGUGACUGUAUUUUCUUAACUACAAUAAACACUUUCACUUUUGGAAAUACACCAGUAUUACACAUACUUUAGCAAUAUUCACAAUAUUUAAUUUUUCAUAUUUCUUCAUUUGUUAGCAAGUUCAUAGCUUGAUCUUCACAUUGUACUAAUAUUUGAUAGCAACUCUUUUUUUAUAUAACAAAAGUUAGAGACAGCCAAUUUUUUGUGUGGCAAGGUCAGGUUUAGGAUUUUUUUUUCUUUUUUGGGGGGGAAUGGGGUAUAGAUUAAAAAUUUGUCUCGUUACCUUAAUCUCAGAUUUGAGCAAUGUUAUUGUCACUGCACAUGGUGAAGUAUGCAACUUUAUUUUCAUACCCCAUGUUAUGUUUCAUGUACCUGCCCAGUGAAUGAGAAUUGUAGUGGUGAAAACUAAAAUUCUGACUGAAAUCCAGAUGCUGUAUAAUAAAGAGGUAUUUGAAAUC